rnacentral:rRNA from 1 species
GUGAGGAAUAUUGCGCAAUGGAGGCAACUCUGACGCAGCCACGCCGCGUGCAGGAAGAAGGCGCUACGCGUUGUAAACUGCUUUUAACCGGGAAGAAACCCCAGGACGUGUCCUGGGUUGACGGUACCGGAGGAAUAAGCACCGGCUAACUUCGUGCCAGCAGCCGCGGUAAUACGAAGGGUGCAAGCGUUAUCCGGAUUCAUUGGGUUUAAAGGGUGCGUAGGCGGAGCGUUAAGUCAGUGGUGAAAUCCUGCAGCUUAACUGUAGACUUGCCAUUGAUACUGGCGCUCUUGAGUGCGCUUGAAGUGGGCGGAAUGUGCCGUGUAGCGGUGAAAUGCUUAGAUAUGGCACAGAACACCAAUUGCGAAGGCAGCUCACUAAGGCGAUACUGACGCUGAGGCACGAAAGCGUGGGGAUCGAACAGGAUUAGAUACCCUGGUAGUCC